UGUGGCAGUUAUACAACAAAGCAUUGUGAGGGCCCUAGCGGGUGUUGACGCAUCGUGAUUUCUGCCCAGUGCUCUGAAUGUCAAAGUUUAGAAAUUGAAGCAAGCGCGAGUAAACGGCGGGAGUAACUAUGACUCUCUUAAGGGGGACUCCGCCCUUAACCCGUCUCCCUCGUCUGAGCAUUGCGAGGUGAGGUCCCGGGGAUACUGACGAGGUCCCGCUUGGUACUCACGGCUAA
rnacentral:ncRNA from 1 species